rnacentral:pre_miRNA from 1 species
CCUUAUCAUUCGACUGUCCAGACAGUAUUUAUAUCUCUGGACGGAGAACUGAUAAGGGC